AUGAGCAGCAGAGGAAAUACAGGGAAGGAAACAUGCAUGCAGUCCCGGCCACCACAGUGCUGUCAGACGGAAAUUUUAAAAGAGCAAGAAGCCUCAUCUGCCCUUCAAACACUGUUUCUGCACGCUCAGCAGCUGUUGCAGUGUGGCCCCGUGCUAUCCCAGAAGGGAGGGAAGUAUGGCUUGCUUUGUUUGAGUUCCAUUGUGCAGAGCCUAUCAAGUGACACUCAGCAGAACACAAAAUUGUUGCCAAACAAGGAAACUGCAAUAUCCAAAGCUAAGUUCAAGAUGCCAUUAGAGUUGCCCUUGGUGCCAGUCUCCGGGGCCUCCGGGAGAGUAAGAUGCUGAGUCCCGAGGAAGGGGUCAGGGAAGACAGCCUGGCCCCAUACCUGUGCCGCCGCCUCUUCCUCCUGCUUGGGGUGGGGGAUGCCUUCAGUUCACUCCUGUCUUCAGACGGACUGUCCUCAUCUGUUAGCACAAGGAGAAAGAGAGGACUUUAAAGGUGAGCACACUUUUCCUUUUAUUUUCUGGAUUUUUCAUUUGAGGAUUGAAGCUAUGGACCUGUCAGGAAAUGUGAGUAUUGACCCAUACAAGCUAGCAUUUGCAGCACUCACUAUAUUACAGGUAUGGUGCUCAGCACUGUCCAUGCAUUACUGCAGUUAUUCUUCAUAAAUUAAAAGAACUCCAAGGUAGCUGCUAUUAUUAUUAUAUUUUUGCAGAGGAGAAAACCGAGGCACAGAGAGAUUAAGUAACUUUCCCCAAAUCACGUGGGUAGUAAAUGAUGAAGUUGGGAUUCAAACCCCAGACUGUGUGAAGUCAAGGCUACUUGGCCGCUAAUUGAAUUUCCUAAUCCCACUGGGCUCCCAAAUUCAUCUGCUACCUUCUGCCUCCAACGUCCUCCUCUUAACCAAUAUACCAGCAUUUCUCAAAGGGAGGGUUGAGGUUUGUGACAUCAGAACCUCUCUGAGAACUGCACUCCCUGCACCUCUGUACCAAUUCCGAAUCUCUGGGCACAGAGUGCAGGGCCUCAUUCUCGACAAGUGCACCCAGAUGACUCAUAGACACACUUGGAAAUGUUUAGGAGCCUUGCUCCACUAUGCUUUGUCCUUCGAUAUUCAUUAUAUCACAGGCCAGAAGGUUAGAAGACUAAACUCUUGUCAGAUUCACUGUUAAAAAGUAUAUG
rnacentral:lncRNA from 1 species